CUGGAUGAUAGCCGGGCUGAAGACUCUGCUUGACUAGCUGAGAGGAGGUGCAUGGCCGUCGUCAGUCGUACUGUGAAGCAUCCUGUUAAGUCAGGCAACGAGCGAGACCCACGCCAACAGUUGCCAGCAUGUCCUCCGGGAUGAUGGGGACACUGUUGGGACCGCCUCUGCUAAAGAGGAGGAAGGAAUGGGCAACGGUAGGUCAGCAUGCCCCGAAUUAUCCGGGCUACACGCGGGCUACAAUGGUCAGGACAAUGGGUAUCGACACCGAGAGGUGGAGGCAAUCUCCUAAACCUGUCCUUAGUUCGGAUUGUGGGCUGCAACUCGCCCACAUGAAGCUGGAAUCCGUAGUAAUCGCGUUUCAAAAUAGCGCGGUGAAUAUGUCCCUGCUCCUU
rnacentral:rRNA from 1 species